AUUGAACGCUGGCGGCAUGCCUUACACAUGCAAGUCGAACGGCAGCACGGGAGCUUGCUCCUGGUGGCGAGUGGCGAACGGGUGAGUAAUACAUCGGAACGUACCCUGAAGUGGGGGAUAACGUAGCGAAAGUUACGCUAAUACCGCAUAUUCUGUGAGCAGGAAAGAGGGGGAUCGCAAGACCUCUUGCUUUAGGAGCGGCCGAUGUCGGAUUAGCUAGUUGGUGAGGUAAAGGCUCACCAAGGCGACGAUCCGUAGCGGGUCUGAGAGGAUGAUCCGCCACACUGGGACUGAGACACGGCCCAGACUCCUACGGGAGGCAGCAGUGGGGAAUUUUGGACAAUGGGCGCAAGCCUGAUCCAGCCAUGCCGCGUG
rnacentral:rRNA from 1 species